AUUCUGUAGCCUAUGCUCGGAGGGCACAUGAGCAAGAGCUUGACCAUCUGUACCGUUGGUUGACUUGCUCUAUUAAGGGCUAUGAUUUCAGGUCGUCCUGCGUGUUUAGAGGAGGCGAGUGGAAUCUUGAGUCUCGGCUGGAGAAGGCAGAGCACGGGCAUGCAGACCUCAAAGCCUCAAACCUGCGUGUGAGAGGAGAAGUUGGCGAGCUCCAGCGUAUGGUCCACGGUUGGUAUUCUAGGAAGAUACAAGACAACAGCUUCUGCGAACCAGUAAGAGUGGCCUCAUUAGACAUUGGAUUUGCCAGUGACUUGAUCAUGGACUUCCCAGUCUCCAGGACUGUGAGUUAUAAAGGUCUUUCACCAUAUUUGCUGUCCUUGGGCAAGAUCAGAGUCAUCUUUGGAAGGAAAAGCAUCUCUGGAUUUUGUUAAAUACCAUCUUAGGAAAGUACUCUCUGCUCUUCAAAGUCAGCGACGACAUGAGUCACUGUUACAGAACCCACAGAAUGUGUCCCUUAAAAUACUGAGAAUGAACACUAUUUUACUGCCUGCAUAAUUAGCACUAGACAGGUGAAUUUAUUACUACUUCAUUAAAUAGAUGAGUUUAUUAACUCAGUGAAGACUUGUGGGAACCUUACUAAAAGAGAUGCAAUUCCCCAGCCUCAAGAUGCUCACAGUCUAGUGAUGAGGAAGCUGGCAAUUCCACUAUACAUGGCUAAAUGCCAGAGUAGUGCACAGCAUCCUUUAGCGGCAUGAGGAAUGGGCUCAUAAGCCCACAGUGGAAUGCAGGGGUUCUACACAAACGUAGCUUAAUCUGAGCCCUGGAGGGUGACUGAGCUCUAUUAGCCAGAGAAUCCAAAUCACUAUAAAACUCCCAGAGAACAAAUGUCAUGAUGUGAAGACAAAUAACAGGCAGAAAGAGAUGGGCAGGAAGGCAGAAUUCAAACCAUGAUGACGUUCAAGUCACAAAAUUAUCUGCAAGUCAGCAGGAGAACACUGAAGGACUUCUGGAAAGGAGAGUAAAAAGAUUCCUUUCAUGUUAGAAACAGAUUACCCUCUCAAACGGGAGGAGGCUUGAGGGGGAGGAGGCUAGGGCCAGAGAGACUAUUAGGAGAGCCACACUAAGAAACUCUUUCUUCUUUAUUCAAAUGUCACCACCUCAGAGUCUCUCUCUAGCCAUCCUGUAGAUAAUUUCGGUCUCCUAACUGCACCCCAACACUUCCUAUCCCUCAUCUCUGCUUACUUCUUUUCUCUAAGCCCUUAUUCCUCUCUAACAUCCUUCUAGGUAUUUACUUACUUAUAUUCAUUACACUUGUCUAAUGUGGAGUUUCGUUACCUGCUCCAUCCCCAACACCUACUAAGUUGCUACAAGCAUUUGGAAGGAACCCAAAGAUUUGCAGAAUGACUACUUUAAUGACUCAGUGAAUAGUUGAUAGAUACACCAUGUGGAUCAGGGCCUCAUUAUUUAUCACCUGAACCAUUCAUUCAACAUAUGAUUGUUGAAGGGUCUACUCUGUGCCAGCCAAGGGUCCUAGAUGUGAAAUAUACAGCAGUGAACAAAGACCUUGAUCUCACAAAGAUGAUAUUAUAAUGGGCUACGAGGGCAUAGCAAACCCCCAAUAUAUAGCGAGAGACACUUUUAAGAACAAUAGGGCAGGGUAAAGAAAUAAAGAGAUGAAAGGAGGGGCUGUCACAGAAUAAGUUUUUGUCAUGAAAGAUUUCUCUUAUAUUUGAACAGAGACCUCAAAUAUAGGAAGAGAAAGCCAUGUAGAGAUCUGAUAUCUGAAGGCAUGUAAUUCAGCCCUGAAGAACAUAGAAAAUUUUUUUUUGUUAAAAA
ensembl:lncRNA ZNF45-AS1 ZNF45 antisense RNA 1